rnacentral:rRNA from 1 species
GAGGAAUAUUGGGCAAUGCCCGCAAGGGUGACCCAGCAACGCCGCGUGGAGGAUGAAUGUCGUAAGAUUGUAAACUCCUGUUAGAGGGGAAGAAUAGUACCGGUUGGACCGGUAUAUGACUGUACCCUCAGAGAAAGCCCCGGCUAACUACGUGCCAGCAGCCGCGGUAAUACGUAGGGGGCAAGCGUUGUCCGGAUUUACUGGGUGUAAAGGGCGCGCAGGCGGGAUAAAAAGUCAGUGGUGAAAUCCUACAGCUUAACUGUAGAAUUGCCUGUGAUACUUUUCUUCUGGAGUUCGGGAGAGGGAGACUGAAGUCCAGGUGUAGUGGUGAAAUACGUAGAUAUCUGGAAGAACACCAGUUGCGAAGGCGGUCUCUUGGUCCGACGCUGACGCUGAGGCGCAAAAGCGUGGGGAGC